GGGUCCGUGGUCUAGCCAGGAUUAAGACGCUGGCCUGCGGAGCCGGAGGUCCGGGGUUCAAAUCCCCGCGGACCCGCCA
rnacentral:tRNA from 1 species